rnacentral:rRNA from 1 species
GACGGAGGAUGCAAGUGUUAUCCGGAAUCACUGGGCGUAAAGCGUCUGUAGGUGGUUUAAUAAGUCAACUGUUAAAUCUUGAGGCUCAACCUCAAAAUCGCAGUCGAAACUAUUAGGCUAGAGUAUAGUAGGGGUAAAGGGAAUUUCCAGUGGAGCGGUGAAAUGCGUAGAGAUUGGAAAGAACACCGAUGGCGAAGGCAGCUCGCUGGGACGGUACUGACGCUGAGGCGCGAAAGCGUGGGGAGCGAACAGG